rnacentral:rRNA from 1 species
UACGGGGGGGGCAAGCGUUGUUCGGAAUUACUGGGCGUAAAGGGCUCGUAGGUGGCCAACUAAGUCAGACGUGAAAUCCCUCGGCUUAACCGGGGAACUGCGUCUGAUACUGGAUGGCUUGAGUUCGGGAGAGGGAUGCGGAAUUCCAGGUGUAGCGGUGAAAUGCGUAGAUAUCUGGAGGAACACCGGUGGCGAAGGCGGCAUCCUGGACCGACACUGACACU